rnacentral:rRNA from 1 species
AUUGAACGCUGGCGGAAUGCUUUACACAUGCAAGUCGAGCGGCAGCGCGGGGGCAACCCUGGCGGCGAGCGGCGAACGGGUGAGUAAUACAUCGGAACGUGUCCUUGAGUGGGGGAUAGCUCGGCGAAAGCCGGAUUAAUACCGCAUAAGCUCUGCGGAGGAAAGCGGGGGACUGGUAACGGCCUCGCGCUGUUGGAGCGGCCGAUGUCGGAUUAGCUAGUUGGUGGGGUAAAGGCCCACCAAGGCGACGAUCCGUAGCUGGUCUGAGAGGAUGAUCAGCCACACUGGAACUGAGACACGGUCCAGACUCCUACGGGAGGCAGCAGUGGGGAAUUUUGGACAAUGGGGGCAACCCUGAUCCAGCCAUUCCGCGUGAGUGAAGAAGGCCUGGU